rnacentral:snRNA from 11 species
AUACUUACAUGGGUGGGGUCGAUGGGUGACCAAGAAGGCUCAUAGCGUUGGCGGUCUUCAUUGCUAUUGGGUUUGGGGUACUGCCGCCUAACAUCUUCCUAAGGUUUUUUUAUAGGCACAUCUUCCAAAGUUGGGUGAGUGUACAUCAUAAUUUGUGGCAGAUGGGUACACGUUCGCUAAAACUGUA